UUUUUAAAAACUCUCAAGCUACAUUUGUUAAUUUAAUUUUACGUACUCCUCUUUUUCAUACGAGUUUUAAUCGAAAAUAGCGAAGGUUUAUAAAAAGAACAUGACAUUUUACAAGUGCAUGAAUGCUUAUGUUAGAAUUCAUAUUGGUUUGUUUUUAUAAAUUUUUUUUUUUUUUUUUUUUUUUUUUUUUUGUGUAUAUAUGCAAACAUAAAUAUAAUCAUAUGGAUUAGUGUCGAGUGAACAUGCAAAUGUAGGUAUGUCAUAUGUGAAUUAAAUUUAAAAUACAAAAAUAUUAAAAAAAAAAAAAAAGAUAAUAAAUGAUUAAAUGAAUAAGUGAUGAAUAAAUGAAUAAGUGAUGAAUAAAUGAAUAAAUGAUGAAUAAAUGAAUAAAUGAUGAAUAAAUGAAUAAGUGAUGAAUAAAUGAACAAAUGAUGAAUAAAUGAAUAAAUGGAUAAAUGAUGAAUAAAUGAAUAAAUGGAUAAAUGAUGAAUAAAUGAAUAAAUAGUUAGGAAGGAAUAAAAAUAAACGAAAUAAAACAUUUUAAAUAAGACAAAAAAUUUAACUAAUUUAAUUUGAAUGUGUUUUUCUUAUUUUUCAUUUUUCUUUUUAUAUAUAUAUUUUUUAUGUAUAUUUUUUUUAUGUUAAUUUUUUUAUUUGCAAUUGAUAUUUGAUGUUGCUAUUUCAAAUUUACUAUUUGAUGUUUGAUUAUUUUUUUUAUUUAUUUGUUUAUUUAAGUAACACGACAUCGGAUAGAAGAUAGAAAACAUAAAUUAAGCACCGAAAUAAGCAGCAAAAAAAAAAAAAAAAAAAAAAAAAAAAAAAAAAUAUGUCUACUCGAGUUGGUAUUAAUUGUAUAUAGUCAUGUUAUAUAAAAUAUAUAGUUACAUAUCACUUUUUUUUUUUGUCCACAUUUUUGUUCAGUUUUUUGUUCAGCUUUUUGUUUAAUUUUUUGUUCAAUUUUUUGUUCAAUUUUUUGUUCAAUUUUUUGUUCAAUUUUUUGUUCAAUUUUUUGUUCAAUUUUUUGUUCAUUUUAUUUUUUUAUUUUAUUUUUUUAUUUUAUUUUUUUAUUUUUUUUUUUUNNNNNNNNNNNNNNNNNNNNNNNNNNNNNNNNNNNNNNNNNNNNNNNNNNNNNNNNNNNNNNNNNNNNNNNNNNNNNNNNNNNNNNNNNNNNNNNNNNNNUUUUUUUUUAUUUUUUUAUUUUAUUUUUGUCCUUGUUUUUAUUUUUUUUACCGUAGCAAAUAUGAUUAAAAAUGUCAUAUAUUUUAUUUUCAUAUUUUCAUUUUUUUUAAUCAUAAUUAAAUGUGAGUAUAUCACCAAUGAUCCAGCUAGUGUGUUGCUCGAAUUGGAGGGUAAUAAAAUAAGAAAUGAAAAAGAAGAAGCUAGCGAUGUUCAGACAGUGAAAAGUGUAGAAGAUAAUAACGGGAGCACUGCGGGUACUUCUUCCAAUACUCGCAACGGCGCCAAUACGAAUGGUGAACAUAAAAGUAACAGAGAAAACAGAACUGUAAAAGAGACUGGUGCUAGUGAUAAUGUUAAAAAUGUGUCAUAUGUAAAAAAUGAAAUGAUUACUUUUUAUAACAACUCUAAUACGGAUAGUGAUAUUUUAAAGACACGAUCUAGUACUUUUAUUAAAAACGGCAUAAAUGACAAUAAUAUGGGUACCACCAGUAAUGACAAUUUUAUCUCAGAAUACAACAAACGAAUAGAAGAGUAUAAUAACGUAUUAGGUAAAAUAAUAGUGAGAAGUUUGAAUGGGAAGAAGUAUAAUUAUUUUAACUUGUUAGAUGAAUAUUCACUUGGUACGAAAAUGAAGAAAGAAGCAUACGAAACGUUAAAAGGUUUAAUAAUGGUUAUUACUAAUAGUAAUUUUUUUAAUUCUAUUUAUAAUAAAGAAAUAAAUAAACUUUUAAAAUACGAAAUAAAACGAGAAACAUAUAUAAAACAUUUUAUUUUAUCUAUUUUCCAAUGGUAUAAUAAUAUAAAAAUAAUAAAAUCGAGUAGAUUUGAUAACAGUUAUUAUGAUUAUAUUCAUUAUAUCGAUGAGAAUAAUAUAUAUGCAUAUAAAUAUAUUUAUAAAUUUGUAUUAAAUUCACAUGUAUCUGAAAAUGUAUUUUUUUAUAUUGACUUAAAUAAAUUAUCUUUGAUUAAAAUAGUUGAUGUAUAUAGAAAAUAUAUAUUUUUAAUUAAUAAUAGUAUUCGUUAUUAUCCUAAUCAUAUGUACAUUACAGAACGUUUUGACGAUUUUGUUUAUAAUUAUUUUUUAUUUUAUAAUCAUUACUAUUUUAAUAAACAUAAAGGUUUAUUAAAUAAAGAAAUAUGGACAAAUAAAAUAAAAAAAAAAAAUAAUAUAGUAUAUAAGAAAUUAACAAAAUUAAAUCCUGAUUUUAUUAUUUAUGAAUUAAAAAAUGUUAAUAAUAUAGAUAACAUUUAUGUAGAAAAGGAAAUUUUUUUAAUGUUUUCUUAUUUUAACGACUUCUUAACUGAUUUAUUAAAUGAGUUGUAUAACGAGUGUUAUAUGAAUAGGUUGAGAAGUAAACUAAAAGAUAAGAAUGUUACGCGUGACCUAAAUGAGAGUGAUAUAAGAACAACUGAAAAGAAUGAGCAGAAAAAGAAUAACAUUAGUGAUGGUGUUCACAUGUAUCUCGUCGAAGGAGAGCAUAAGAAUACUGCUAAUGGUAGUAGUGGUAGUAGUAAUAGUACUAGUAGUAGUAAUAGUAAUAGUAGUAGUAGUAGUAGUAGUAGUAGUAGUAGUAAUAGUAGUAGUUAUAGUAGUAGUUAUAGUAGUAACAAUAUGCACAACGGGACAAAUAAUGAUAAGUUAAGAAACGCAAACGGAGGCAACAAUUUUGUUAGUGGUCAUACUAAUGACGAAAGUGAUGACACCACAUCGUAUCAUGAUUUCCUAAACAGAGACCCAAACGAGUUAGAAACACAAGAUGACGAAGAUAACAUACCAUUUGAUAACAUCUUAGCUUCGUAUAAUAAUUUAAUAAAAGAUAAAAAUUUUAAUAAAUACAACAAAUAUAUUUUAAAAAAUAUGGAAAAGAUAUUUAAUAUGUCAAGAGAUAAGACAUACAACGAUUUAGAUAAUUAUAAAAAUAAUUAUGAAUUAUCAGAUGAUGGUUAUAUUGUUAAUAUUAAAAAUAAUCGACAAAUUCCUUUAAUUUUUAAUCCUGGGAAAGAUGUAUUUUUAUAUUUCAACAAAAUUAAUAACAAAAGAAAAAUAAAUUUUUAUAAUAUAUAUAAAAAGUUAUUAACGAUUAUUAAAUAUAAAAAAGAGAGUAAUUUUUAUGAUGGAUUUUGUCAAUGUGGUGUUAUUGAUAAUGUGUUUGAUUUUCACAAGUUUUCUGAGAACUUAUAUGUUGGAUUUGGAAAAUCUAUUCCCGAGGUGUAUGGGAAAAUCAAUUUAAAUGACACGACACCAGCUGCUGUUAAAACAAAUGAUCGUAUUCACGAUCAAUUAAAAUUAUUAAAGCGGGUAUAUACAGAUAAAUUAAAAAACGAAUCAAUUUGUGUGUUGUCAUUUUUGUUUUUAAUAGGAAUUAAUGAUGAUAAUGGGAUUUUACAAUUUCCUUUUGGAUUUCCUCGUAACGUUGAUUAUGCUGUAAAAUUAUUAAGAAAAGGCAAAAAUGGUUUAUGUAAUUUUUUAAGUGGUAUAUUAUAUCAUAUAAAUUUACCUAUAUAUGUAAACAAUUCUUCAAUUAAUUUAACUAACGAAUUGAAUGAAGACAUGUUACAUGUAGAUAAUUCUAACAAUAGUAGUAUUAAUAACUUUUUUUAUAUUUAUUAUACAAAUAAUACAAAACUAAAAAAUAGCGAAUUUUUAUCAAAUGAGAAUAGGAAGAUACCAAAUAAAGUAAAUAGUUUAAAAUCUAAAAUAACAUCUUAUUCGUUAGGAGCAACAAAAAAUGAUUUGUUUAGUCGUUUAGCUUUUACAAAUAAUAUCAUACGGUUAAAAUAUAAAAAUAAAACAAACAACAGUUAUUUAAAAGAGUUUUUUGAUUUUACUUUUGAUAAAACAAGUUUUAAAAAUAUGUUUUUAAAUCAUAAUAUAUCUCCGUUUUUGACUACUUGUGACCAUGUACUUAGUAACAUAUUAGCGACUGUAAUUGAUUCUCUUAAAAAUACAACUUCAAUUGAAAGCAAAAUAGUUGAACAUAAUAUAAAUGAUAAUAAUAUGAACCUAUUACAUAAUAGUAGAAAUAGUAAUAAAAAUCUUUUGGAAUAUUUUUUAAAGUUAGCUGACAAUAGGAACUCAUAUGCACUAGCUGCGUUAGGUGAGAUGUAUUAUUUAGGUAAUGAAAGUAUAGGUAUUGAGAGGGACGAAUUAAAAGCAUACGAGUUUUGGAAAAAAGCAGCUGACCAAGGCGAUAGUACAUCUGCUUUAUCCACUGGAUAUGCUUAUCUUGAUGAAUAUAAAAAGUUUUUAAAAAAAGAAGAAAUGGCAAAAAAAAUGAGUAAGGAUGAUUUGUUGAGUAUAAUAAAGUUAGAAAAAAGUGCGAGUGAUGGGUCUGAUAGUGGCGAAGCGUUUGAUUUUUUUAAGGCGUCAUCAGGUGUGCGUUAUGAAGAGAGCGGAUGGGUUGGUUCGGGAUCACCAUCACAACCUGAAGAGGGUGACAGGGUUGGUCAGAGUAAUGUUGCUACUCAUAGAAGUGGCAGUACAAGUGGCAGUACAAGUGGCAAUACAAGUGGCAAUACAAGUGGCAAUACAAGUGGCAAUACAAGUGGCAAUACAAGUGGCAAUACAAGUGGCAAUACAAAUGGUAGUGAAAGCACCGGUGAUGACGAAAAAAAACAAACAAACGAGUAUUAUACUUUUUUUUCCCAUAUAGGACAAGAUGAUUUAGAAAGUGUAGGAAACGCAAGGGAUGAUGGGCCUAGCUCCUUCGUAAAUCCUCCUGUAUAUGACAGUACAGAUGGGUUAGGAGCGGAUGCUACUUCUUCAGGUGGUAUGUAUGGGUACAGUAAUACAAAUGAUAUAAGGACAGGUGCCAAUUUAGGUACCAAUUCAGGUUCCAAUUUAGGUACCAAUUCAGGUUCCAAUUUAGGUUCCAAUUUAGGUGCCAAUUUAGGUGCCAAUUUAGGUGCCAAUUUAGGUGCCAAUUUAGGUGCCAAUUCAGGUGCUAAUCCAAGUGCUAAUCCAAGUGCUAAUCAAAACCAUUCGAAUACUAUGGGUAGUAAUACAGCAUCAAUAGAUUUUUUUUAUCCCAACGAAGGCGUGAAUGACAUAACAAAUAGAACAGAUGGAACAAACAGAACAGAUGGAACAAACAGAACAGACAUAAAUGACGAAGGAACUGAAAUAAUAAAAAAAUAUUUAGCUGAUUUGGAAAAUGACGUUCAAAUGUCAUUAGCAAACGCGAAAACAUAUUUUCAUAAAGCCAUAAGAAACAAUGAUGGUAGUAUUGAAAAUAUUUUAGCGAAAUAUAACAUUUAUAAAUUUGGAUUAGGAACAGAAAAGAAUAUUGAAUUAGCAGGUUAUUACUUAAAGCUAGCUGCAGAUAAAGGUGAUAAUGUGUCACAGAUGUUAUUAGGUCAUUAUUAUUCUGGUACGGAUAUUGGUAUAAUGCUAAGUGAUUAUAAUGAUAAUGACAGAAUUGGUAAUUUAAAAAAAGCAUAUAAAUAUUAUAGUUUAUCUGCAAAGAAUGGAAACAUUGUUUCUUUAUAUAAUGAAAGUAUAUUAAUACUAAAAGGUGUGAAUCCAAGUUAUAAAACAUUUAAUGAGAAAUGUGAAAAAACUAUUAGUAAUUUUCAUUUUAUAAGUAUGAUAAAUGAAAAGUUAUAUGGUUUAAACAAAUUAUUAAGAAGGAGUUAUGAGUUUAAGGAUUAUACAGGAGCAUUAUUGGUAGCAAUAAUUUUAGCAGAAUUAGGUGAACAUUCUAAUAAUGUAAAUGUAUCAUUUUUAUGGCAGUUGAAACGUAAAACGAUGGAAAACUUUACAGAACGGUAUAAUGUAGUGGAAGAUGUGUUACGGAAUUUGAGAAAUUUUAUUCGUAGGAGUAGCACUACUAUUGCUGAUGAUGUUGAUGGGGGGGGUGCUAGUGCUAGUGCUAGUGCUAGUCAGGGUGUCGACAUUAUUAUUACAAAAAAUAUACACAAAAAAAAUGAGCCAAAUGAAAUUGAUUUAGAAAAUAUAAUAAAAAAUAUAUAUAAAAAAGGAAAAACAAAAAAAAACAAAAAAAAAAAAAAAAGUGUUUACUCUAUCAUAAGAGACUUAAGUCCUCAUGAGUUUUCCAUUUUGAAAAAUUGUACAAUGGUUGUAACAAAUGAUAUGGUCGUAAAUGAUAGUAUUUUGGGUCGUAUUAAAUUUUGUGCUCAGUUGAAAAGGGAAUUGUAUGGUAAGGAUAUUAGCACAAGUAACCUAAUUGGCAAUAAAAAUGGAAGCCAAAAUGGAAACCAAAAUGGAAACCAAAAUGGAAGCCAAAAUGGAAGCCAAAAUGGAAGCCAAAAUGGAAACCAAAAUGGAAGCCAAAAUGGAAGCCAAAAUGGAAACCAAAAUGGAAGCCAAAAUGGAAACGAAAAUGGAAACGAAAAUGGAAACGAAAAUGGAAACGAAAAUGGAAGCCAAAAUGGAAACGAAAACCCCGAAAGUGACGACCACACUACUGAAGAAACAAACAAAUAUUUCGAUGAAUACUAUUACGAUAAAUACGAAUUAACGAAAAUGUACCAACAGAUAGAACUGUUCGAAGGGUAUGACAAAAUAAUAUUAAAAAAUUUAAACAAAUUAAAUAGUAAUAAAGAAAAGAUAAAAAAUAUAGAAAAAGUAAAAAGUUUAAUAAUGGAACAUUUUCGAGUUAGCGAGUUUUUACACUGCUAUUACAAGCCAAUAUCUUAUUAUCAAAUUAUGGUGGAUGAGGAAGAAAAUGAAAGGGAGAAAAGUCGACAGAAUUAUAAACCUGGAAUAGACAUGUAUGAAAAAACGUCUGAAAAAACGUCUGAAAAAACGUCUGAAAAAAAGUUCGAAAAAACGUCCGAAAAAACGUCCGAAAAAACGUCCGAAAAAACGUNNNNNNNNNNCGAAAAAACGUCCGAAAAAACGUCCGAAAAAACGUCCGAAAAAACGUCCGAAAAAAAGUCCGAAAAAACGUCUGAAAAUAACACAAACACAGGUACGUCAUAUUUAUAUGACACAAAGAAUUAUGAUUUAUAUGAUAUAGAGUUUUACCGUUAUGCUAGUUUAUUUGAAAAUGAAGAUAUAAAAGAAAUAUAUUAUUAUAAAAAAAAAUAUUCUUCUAACAUAUUUAAU
rnacentral:lncRNA from 1 species